rnacentral:misc_RNA from 1 species
GAUGAAGAACGCAGCGAAAUGCGAUAAGUAGUGUGAAUUGCAGAUUUCAGUGAAUCAUCGAAUCUUUGAACGCACAUUGCGCCCUUUGGUAUUCCGAAGGGCAUGCCUGUCUGAGCGUCAGUAAAUCAAUCAAACUUUGGUUUGGUAUUGGGAGAAGUGGCUUUGCCUCUCUCCUUUAAGCUAUUGGCGACGCUAUUUCAGCUUGUAAGACGUAGUAAGUAAUUUCUCGUUAAAGCAACUGUAUAGCUGUCUGCCAAAUGAACGAUUUAUUUUACAGCUUGACCUCAGAUCAGGUAGGGAUACCCCCUGAACUUAAGCAUAUCAAUAAGCGGAGGA